UACGUAGGUGACAAGCGUUGUCCGGAUUUACUGGGCGUAAAGAGCGCGCAGGCGGUCGAUCAAGUCGAGUGUGAAAGCCCCCGGCUCAACUGGGGAGGGUCAUUCGAUACUGAUCGACUCGAAGGCAGGAGAGGGUAGUGGAAUUCCCGGUGUGAGUGGUGAAAUGCGUAGAUAUCGGGAGGAACACCAGUGGCGAAGGCGACUACCUGGCCUGUUCUUGACGCUGAGGCGCGAAAGCUAGGGGAGCAAACGGG
rnacentral:rRNA from 1 species